UCCAGCUUGGUAGCAUUCACA
rnacentral:miRNA from 1 species